rnacentral:rRNA from 1 species
AACGAACGCUGGCGGCAGGCUUAACACAUGCAAGUCGAGCGGGGACUUAGGUCCUAGCGGCGGACGGGUGAGUAACGCGUGGGAACGUGCCUUUUGCUUCGGGAUAGCCCUGGGAAACUGGGAGUAAUACCGGAUGAGCCCUUUGGGGGAAAGAUUUAUCGGCAAGAGAUCGGCCCGCGUUGGAUUAGGUAGUUGGUGGGGUAAAGGCCUACCAAGCCGACGAUCCAUAGCUGGUUUGAGAGGAUGAUCAGCCACACUGGGACUGAGACACGGCCCAGACUCCUACGGGAGGCAGCAGUGGGGAAUCUUAGACAAUGGGCGCAAGCCUGAUCUAGCCAUGCCGCGUGAGUGAUGAAGGCCUUAGGGUUGUAAAGCUCUUUCAGUGGGGAAGAUAAUGACGGUACCCACAGAAGAAGCCCCGGCUAACUCCGUGCCAGCAGCCGCCGUAA